UGCCCCUCUAGUGCCCUCACAAAAGGAGCUACAGACUCAGGGUGACAGGUGAAGUAAAAAGGAUCCAUUGCUGGGGAGAUUUGUAUGUGGUUUAAUGGAGGGUGCUGUGCCCUCCCUGCAGGAAGGGGGCGCCACUCACCCUGUCAUUAUCUGCCAUUUCUCUGCUUCUCUCCACACGGAGGAGACAGGAGCAUCGGAGGCAGAGAGAAGCCCCGCCCACAGCAUGUCCGGACACAAACUCCAGCCUGUGCAGAGGGGGAUGGAGCCCUUACUUACUCAUGUAAGCAUAUAUUAGUGUGGUGUCCAUCUCUUCAGUGUAAGAACCAGAGCUGUGUGGAGAUUCCUGCAUAAGGGUGAACCGGUGGCAAUUCCGAACAAUACUGAAAUCCUACAGGAAUGUAUAAGAGAACUGACAGAACCUUCCCUCUAGUCUUUAAACAUAGGAUAAAAGGAGGGCAACUGAAACUGCAAAGAAUUCUAAAGUACAGAGGGAAACAAUGCACUGAAUUGGUUUCUAUGUGAAUAACUCAUCAAUCAUGGAGACUUUUCCAUACUGAAUAAAGUGUGAGUCCAUGACCUGAAUCUUAAUGAGGAGAUUAAAAAAUGUAUUGUGUAUAUGAAUCAACAAUGUGUGCUAAUGGUAACAUGUAUUAAUAUUCCCACACCACCAUUUUAUGCUAUUAAAUACCGAAAAACUGCAAAGUUAUUUUUGCCCUCACUCUGUAAUAGGGAUUUAUCACCAACGUAUCAAAUAAAAUACAUUUGCAUCCAUUUUCUAUAACAAUAUUGCAACAAACCAAACACAUGCAUGUGCUCUAAAACAAAUGUUUGUUUUUGUUAACUCUGGGGAAUG